AACGAACGCUGGCGGCAGGCCUAACACAUGCAAGUCGAACGCCCCGCAAGGGGAGUGGCAGACGGGUGAGUAACACGUGGGAACAUGCCCUUUGGUUCGGGAUAACUCAGGGAAACUUGAGCUAAUACCGGAUAAGCCCGAGAGGGGAAAGAUUUAUCGCCGAAGGAUUGGCCCGCGUCCGAUUAGCUAGUUGGUGAGGUAACGGCUCACCAAGGCGACGAUCGGUAGCUGGUCUGAGAGGAUGAUCAGCCACACUGGGACUGAGACACGGCCCAGACUCCUACGGGAGGCAGCAGUGGGGAAUAUUGGACAAUGGGCGCAAGCCUGAUCCAGCCAUGCCGCGUGAGUGAUGAAGGCCCUAGGGUUGUAAAGCUCUUUCACCAGGGAAGAUAAUGACGGUAACCGGAGAAGAAGCCCCGGCUAACUUCGUGCCAGCAGCCGCAGUAAAAC
rnacentral:rRNA from 1 species